CCUACGGGUGGCAGCAGUGGGGAAUAUUGCACAAUGCGGGAAACCCUGAUGCAGCGACGCCGCGUGAGUGAAGAAGUAUCCCGGUAUGUAAAGCUCUAUCAGCAGGGAAGAAAAUGAUGGAACCUGACUAAGAAGCUCCGGCUAACUACGUGCCAGCAGCAGCGGUAAUACGAAGGGGGCAAGCGUUAUCCGGAUUUACUGGGUGUAAAGGGAGCGUAGACGGCGCUGCAAGUCCGGAGUGAAAGCCCAUGGCUUAACCAUAGUACUGCUCUGGAAACUGUGGGGCUUGAGUGCGGGAGGGGCAGGCGGAAUGCGUAGUGUAGCGGUGAAAUGCGUAGAUAUUAGGAGGAACACCGGCGGCGAAGGCAGCCUGCUGGACCGUAACUGACGUUGAGGCUCGAAAGCGUGGGGAGCAAACAGGAUUAGAUACCCGAGUAGUC
rnacentral:rRNA from 1 species